GACGAACGCUGGCGGCGUGCUUAACACAUGCAAGUCGAACGGAAAGGCCCUGCUUUUUUGGGGUGCUCGAGUGGCGAACGGGUGAGUAACACGUGAGUAACCUGCCCUUGACUUUGGGAUAACUUCAGGAAACUGGGGCUACUACCGGAUAGGAGCUCCCGCUGCAUGGUGGGGGUUGGAACGUUGCGGCGGUUGGGGAUGGACGCGCGGCUUAUCAGCUUGUUGGUGGGGUAGUGGCUUACCAAGGCUUUGACGGGUAGCCGGCCUGAGAGGGUGACCAGCCACAUUGGGACUGAGAUACGGACCAGACUGCUACGGUAGGCAGCAGUGGGGAAUAUGACACAGUGGGCGGGAGCCUGAUGCAGCAGCGCCGCGUGCGGAAUGACGGCCUUCGGGUUGUAAACCGCUUUCGCCUGUGACGAAGCGUGAGUGACGGUAAUGAGUAAAGAAGCACCGGCUAACUACGUG
rnacentral:rRNA from 1 species